UCUCACACAAAGUGCUUUUUAACUGUGAG
rnacentral:piRNA from 1 species